GUAGGUGAACCUGCGGAAGGAUCAUUCAUAAUAAGUGUUUUAUGGCACUUUUUUAAAUCCAUAUCCACCUUGUGUGCAAUGUCAGGGUUGAUUUUUCUCUCGAGAGGAUCAGCCCCAAACAUCAACUAUAUCUCAACUCUUUGUCUGAAAAAUGUUAUGAAUAAAACAAUUCAAAAUACAACUUUCAGCAACGGAUCUCUUGGCUCUC
rnacentral:misc_RNA from 1 species